rnacentral:lncRNA from 1 species
AUAUACCCUUUUGUCUCAAUACUUCCAAUGCUUGGAUUAGUGUUGUAGCUUCACCUUCUAAGAUAGAACAGUUCCCUUCCAACCAUGUAGUCUCUGCCAUCACGAAACGUCCCAUGUAAUCACGCAAACACUAUCCCGUGCUAGUUUUAUUGAGCGCUUGAUGAAAUCCCGCGUCAACAUUACAUUUGUACCAUCCAUAACUUGGUGCCUGCCAUCUGAUGUAUUGUUGCUGCUGCUGUUCA